UAAAAAUUUUUAAAAGGUGGGUUUUUU
rnacentral:piRNA from 1 species